GGAUUCCCCGAGUAGCGGCGAGCGAAACGGGACAAGCCCAGCGCUGAAUCCUGCGGUCCCUGCGGGCCGCCGGGAAAUGUAGCGUUAGGGAGGAGAUUUUGAUUUUAAUCGCGCGGUCUACGUUCGGCGAUCGGUUCAAGUCCAUCUUGAACGGGGCCCCGCUUAUCCGUAGAGGGUGCCAGGCCCGUAGAACGGUCGCCGGCCGCGACGGUCUCUCUCCCCAGAGUCGGGUUGCUUGAGAGUGCAGCCCUAAGCGGGUGGUAAACUCCAUCUAAGGCUAAAUACGACCACGAGACCGAUAGCGAACA
rnacentral:rRNA from 1 species